rnacentral:rRNA from 1 species
GAAUUCGCCCUUAGAGUUUGAUCCUGGCUCAGGACGAACGCUGGCGGCGCGCCUAACACAUGCAAGUCGAACGAGCGAGAGGAGGUUUACUUUCUCAAGCGAGUGGCGAACGGGUGAGUAACGCGUGAGGAACCUGCCUCAAAGAGGGGGACAACAGUUGGAAACGACUGCUAAUACCGCAUAAGCCCACGACCCGGCAUCGGGUAGAGGGAAAAGGAGCAAUCCGCUUUGAGAUGGCCUCGCGUCCGAUUAGCUAGUUGGUGAGGUAAUGGCCCACCAAGGCGACGAUCGGUAGCCGGACUGAGAGGUUGAACGGCCACAUUGGGACUGAGACACGGCCCAGACUCCUACGGGAGGCAGCAGUGGGGAAUAUUGCACAAUGGGGGAAACCCUGAUGCAGCGACGCCGCGUGGAGGAAGAAGGUCUUCGGAUUGUAAACUCCUGUUGUUGAGGAAGAUAAUGACGGUACUCAACAAGGAAGUGACGGCUAACUACGUGCCAGCAGCCGCGGUAAAACGUAGGUCACAAGCGUUGUCCGGAAUUACUGGGUGUAAAGGGAGCGCAGGCGGGAAGACAAGUUGGAAGUGAAAUCCAUGGGCUCAACCCAUGAACUGCUUUCAAAACUGUUUUUCUUGAGUAGUGCAGAGGUAGGCGGAAUUCCCGGUGUAGCGGUGGAAUGCGUAGAUAUCGGGAGGAACACCAGUGGCGAAGGCGGCCUACUGGGCACCAACUGACGCUGAGGCUCGAAAGUGUGGGUAGCAAACAGAAAGAGAUACCCUGGUAGUCCACACUGUAAACGA